UACAGAGGUCUCAAGCGUUGUUCGGAUUCAUUGGGCGUAAAGGGUGCGUAGGCGGCGCGGUAAGUCGGGUGUGAAAUCUCGGAGCUUAACUCCGAAACUGCAUUCGAUACUGCCGUGCUUGAGGACUGGAGAGGAGACUGGAAUUUACGGUGUAGCAGUGAAAUGCGUAGAUAUCGUAAGGAAGACCAGUGGCGAAGGCGGGUCUCUGGACAGUUCCCGACGCUGAGGCACGAAGGCCAGGGGAGCAAACGGG
rnacentral:rRNA from 1 species